rnacentral:rRNA from 1 species
GUGCCAGCCGCCGCGGUAAUACGGAGGGUGCGAGCGUUGUCCGGAAUCACUGGGCGUAAAGGGCGCGUAGGCGGUCUGCUAAGCGUGUGGUGAAAGCCCGGGGCUCAACCCCGGGUCGGCCAUGCGAACUGGUGGACUCGAGCACUGUAGAGGCAGGUGGAAUUCCGGGUGUAGCGGUGGAAUGCGUAGAGAUCCGGAAGAACACCGGUGGCGAAGGCGGCCUGCUGGGCAGUAGCUGACGCUGAGGCGCGACAGCGUGGGGAGCAAACAGGAUUAGAUACCCCCGUAGUCC